rnacentral:rRNA from 1 species
UUGGAGGGCAAGUCUGGUGCCAGCAGCCGCGGUAAUUCCAGCUCCAAUAGUGUAUAUUAAAGUUGCUGCAGUUAAAAAGCUCGUAGUUGAAUUUCGGGACCAAUAUGUCGGUCGCGCCUCGGUACGUACUGGCAUCGUUGGUUUCUCCCUUCUGACGAACCAUGAUGUCAUUCAUUUGGUGUCGUGGGGAAUCAGGACUGUUACUUUGAAAAAAUUAGAGUGUUUAAAGCAGGCUCACGCUUGAAUACAUUAGCAUGGAAUAAUGAAAUAGGACGUUUGAUUCUAUUUUGUUGGUUUCUAGGAUCGACGUAAUGAUUAAUAGGGAUAGUUGGGGGCAUUAGUAUUCAAUUGUCAGAGGUGAAAUUCUUGGAUUUAUUGAAGACUAACUACUGCGAAAGCAUUUGCCAAGGAUGUUUUCAUUAAUCAAGAACGAAAGUUAGGGGAUCGAAGACGUUCAGAUACCGUCGUAGUCUUAACCAUAAACUAUGCCGACUAGGGAUCGGAUGAUGUUAAUUUUUUAAUGACUCAUUCGGCGCCUUACGGGAAAC